CCUACGGGAGGCAGCAGUGGGGGAUAUUGCACAAUGGGGGAAACCCUGAUGCAGCGACGCCGCGUGGGCGAAGAAGUAUUUCGGUAUGUAAAGCCCUAUCAGCAGGGAAGAAGAAAUGACGGUACCUGAGUAAGAAGCACCGGCUAAAUACGUGCCAGCAGCCGCGGUAAUACGUAUGGUGCAAGCGUUAUCCGGAUGUACUGGGUGUAAAGGGAGCGCAGGCGGCACGGCAAGCCUGAUGUGAAAGCCAUGGGCCCAACCGGGGGACUGCAUUGGGAACUACCGGGCUGGAGUGUCGGAGAGGUAGGUGGAAUGCCAGGUGUAGCGGUGAAAUGCGUAGAGAUUAGGAGGAACACCAGUGGCGAAGGCGGCCUACUGGACAAAGACUGACGCUGAGGCUCGAAAGCGUGGGGAGCAAACAGGAUUAGAUACCCGGGUAGUC
rnacentral:rRNA from 1 species